rnacentral:misc_RNA from 1 species
GACACAUCUCGCCCCCCUCCCCUUUACUGUGGGAAGAGGCGGCGGACUCUGCGUGUUCCGGAGCGCGAGCUCCGAGUGCACCGAACCUCGUGAACGCGAGACCUCUACCGCUGAUUGCGCACAGAGUUGUUGACGGCGUGUCUGCUUCGGCGGCGCGACUCUCUACUCGCCACGUGCCUUUCGCAAGGCGGGAGCGGUCGUAGUUCCGGCUGCGCGCCCUUGCGGCGCACAACCCCAACUUUCG